UAACCAAAAUAGUUGAGAAAAAAGAAAGAAAUUAAUAUGGAGGCCAUUUAUAAGCUAUGGAUUGUGAUCGUUUCACUCAUAGUGGUGAAGCUAUGUCAUUUGAUCUAGUAAUGGAGCAAUCCAAAGUUUAAUGGAAAACUUCCUCCAGGGUCGAUGGGUUUUCCAAUCAUUGGAGAAACUAUUGAGUUCAUGAAACCUCAUGAUGCUCUUCAGUAUUCAACUUUCCUUAAAAAGAGACUCCUCAGGUACUAAUCAUGCAAACUUAUCAUCCUAAACAAAAAGAUCAUCCAAAAAGUAUUUAAAAGCAAAACAAGUUCAUUAAAAAAAAAAAGGGAAUUGCAACAAGUUCAAUUGGAAGCAGUAUUAGAGGAAGGAGAAUUGGCAGCUGGACUGGAGACUGGUGUGGUGCCUGGUGUGGUUCUUCCGCCAGUGAGUUGUGCAUUGGUUGCAGGUGCGGUAGCUGGAUGGGUGGUUGGAGGUGUGGAUGAUUCAGGAGGAGAAACCAUAAAAGCUUCAAACUCAGGAUUUUUUUCUUUCAUAUAGAGGAGAAGCCUCUUCAGUUCAGCUUGAGACUAUCGGUGCCUCGUGUUCAGAAAUCUUGUGCCGAAGUUCAUCUUGAAGCUCCCCAAGAGUUGUUGGAGAAGCACUUGUAUAACUCUCUGCCCUUUUCCUUUUCUUUAGUGUCUCCACAAGUGAUCCAAGUCCAAAUGGGUUGCCUCUGUGGUCUGUAUGAGUACACUAAACCAAGAGAUAAACAUUUAGUAAUUAUCACA